rnacentral:rRNA from 1 species
GAAUUUUGGGCAAUGGGCGAAAGCCUGACCCAGCAACGCCGCGUGAAGGAUGAAAUCCCUCGGGAUGUAAACUUCGCAAGAUUGGGAAGAAUUAGUAGGGGUUAAUACCCCCUAUGAUGACGGUACCUUUUGUAAGCUCCGGCUAACUCCGUGCCAGCAGCCGCGGUAAUACGGGGGGAGCAAGCGUUGUUCGGAUUUACUGGGCGUAAAGGGCGCGUAGGCGGUCAGCACAAGUCAGUUGUGAAAUCUCCGGGCUUAACUCGGAAAGGUCAACUGAUACUGUGCGACUAGAGUGCAGAAGGGGCAACUGGAAUUCUCGGUGUAGCGGUGAAAUGCGUAGAUAUCGAGAGGAACACCUGCGGCGAAGGCGGGUUGCUGGGCUGACACUGACGCUGAGGCGCGAAAGCCAGGGGAGCGAACGGG